CAUCCAACCCUGACGAACAUUACCGACCUCCACUAGCUCACACUGUACCACACAUACCGACCCAACACCACAUUUUUCCCUUUUUUUUCCCUAAGCAGGAACAACCACAGAAACCGGACGCGGCGCAGUCGACGUCACCUCGGCAUGUGACGUCUCCUUCAUACCGAGCCAGUCCGACAGCAUGCCUCUGCCCGGGGUCCAGCUCUGCCCACUGCUCCUUGGUGACAGCCCACGCCUGCUCCACAUUCAGCCACGACAACUGAACCGCACUGAACACCACCUGUCAGACACACACCCGACACAAAUAGCAGCGGUUAUAUUAUAUAUGUUCUUACAAGUGUCCACAGUUUAUCUUGUAUGGUUUAAUUUGAGACAGUAAGCUGCUUGCCACAUUGCUAAUAAGUCUUUGAGACAGUUAUCCCACUGUUAACGGUCCCUCUUCUGUAUAGUCCAGUUUAUUAAGAUAAUCUGACAUUUUGCCUUUGGUUUACAUGUAAAGCCAGUUUUAUUAUGAUUUAAGCAGUUAGCAUUUUACAGGAAAAAAAGGCCAAAACAUGUUUGUGAGUUAUAUUGUCAUGACCUAAUUGCUGUAUUUCAUUUUAAUAUAACUUUUAUAUAAUACUAAUAUAACUAGCUAAAUCUAUAAACUCAUAGUUUGAAAAAUA